rnacentral:rRNA from 1 species
UACGUAGGGGGCAAGCGUUGUCCGGGUUUAUUGGGCGUAAAGAGCGUGUAGGCGGCCAGGUAGGUGGGUUGUGAAAACUGGAGGCUCAACCUUCAGACGUCGACCCAAACCCCCUGGCUAGAGUCCGGAAGAGGAGAGUGGAAUUCCUGGUGUAGCGGUGAAAUGCGCAGAUAUCAGGAAGAACACCCGUGGCGAAGGCGGCUCUCUGGGACGGUACUGACGCUGAGACGCGAAAGCGUGGGGAGCGAACAGG